CCUACGGGAGGCAGCAGUGAGGAAUAUUGGUCAAUGGUCGCGAGCCUGAACCAGCCAAGUAGCGUGAAGGAUGACUGCCCUACGGGUUGUAAACUUCUUUUAUAAAGGAAUAAAGUGAGGCACGAGUGCCUGUUUGUAUGUACUUUAUGAAUAAGCAUCGGCUAACUCCGUGCCAGCAGCCGCGGUAAUACGGAGGAUUCGAGCGUUAUCCGGAUUUAUUGGGUUUAAAGGGAGCGUAGAUGGGUUGUUAAGUCAGUUGUGAAAGUGUGCGGCUCAACCGUAUAAUUGCAAUUGAUACUGGCAGCCUUGAGUACAGUUGAGGUAGGCGGAAUGCGUGGUGUAGCGGUGAAAUGCUUAGAUAUCACGAAGAACUCCGAUUGCGAAGGCAGCUUACUAAACUGCAACUGACAUUGAUGCACGAAAGUGUGGGUAUCAAACAGGAUUAGAUACCCUGGUAGUC
rnacentral:rRNA from 1 species